rnacentral:rRNA from 1 species
UUGGAGGGCAAGUCUGGUGCCAGCAGCCGCGGUAAUUCCAGCUCCAAUAGCGUAUAUUAAAGUUGUUGCAGUUAAAAAGCUCGUAGUUGAAUUUCGGAAUCCAUCCGUCGGUCGGGCCUCACGGUCCGCACUGGUGUGAUGGAUUCCUACCUUCUGAAUAACCAGCAUGUCAUUAAUUUGGUGCGUUGGGGAAGCAGGACUGUUACCUUGAAAAAAUUAGAGUGCUUAAAGCAGGCUAGUGCCUGAAUACAUUAGCAUGGAAUAAUGAAAUAGGACGGCAUGGUUCUAUUUUGUUGGUUUCUAGGAUCACCGUAAUGAUUAAUAGGGAUAGUUGGGGGCAUUAGUAUUCAAUUGUCAGAGGUGAAAUUCUUGGAUUUAUUGAAAACUAACUUCUGCGAAAGCAUUUGCCAAGGAUGUUUUCAUUAAUCAAGAACGAAAGUUAGGGGAUCGAAGACGAUCAGAUACCGUCGUAGUCUUAACCAUAAACUAUGCCGACUAGGGAUCGGACGAUGUUAAUUUUUUAAUGACUCGUUCGGCGCCUUACGGGAAAC